rnacentral:tRNA from 2 species
GGGUAGAUAGGUGCUGGUGUGCCUCUUGGUCUUCAAAACCAAUGUGAGGGGUUAGGAGCCUCUCGGGUGGGUUCAAUUCCCACAUACUCCC